rnacentral:rRNA from 1 species
GGUUGAUCCUGCCAGUCAUAUAUGCUUGUCUUAAAGACUUAGCCAUGCAUGUCCAAGUAUAAACCACUUUAUACGGUGAAACUGCGAAUGGCUCAUUAAAUCAGUUAUAGUUUACUUGAUAGUCUCUUACUACAUGGAUAACCGUGGUAACCCAGAGCUAAUACAUGCAUCAAGACACGACUCCUCGGGGAAGUGUUGUAUUUAUUAGGUAAAAAACCAAUGCCUUUGCGGGCUCCUUGGUGAUUCAUAAUAACUUGCGGAUCGCAUGACCUUGUGUCGGCGACGUUUCAUU